AUCAUUUAAAGUGCAUCUUUUUGUAAGCUUCAAGUACGUUGUUUAUUAUCUCCAUAAUACUUUACUAACAGUUCUGAAUUUGUCUCCCUCACCAUAUAGUCCACCAUUAACAUCCUCAAUGUACUUGGUUGCAUGAGAAUUAAUUGCUGGGAAAAAUACUGCUGUUAGUUUGCUGAUAUUUUGAAGUAGUCCUCACUCCUCUUCUCUCUUCCUUCUCUGUUUCAGAGCUUCUAAUCGUUUUUCUGUUUGAAUUCUUGGAAUUAUGCAAAGGUUGGAGAAGACAAGGAUCUUUCUGAAAUAACAAAGGUAGAACUAAAGAAGCUAUUCCCAGGCAAGAAGAUAGAUGAAGUGAAAGAGAUGAGCUUAUCUGCCAACCAAGAAAGGGUGGAAAUGGAGAA